ACGAGUUCAUGCCCUCACGGGUAGAUCUCCCACCCUUGAAUACCAUACCUUCGUUGCUUUGGCGGGCCGCCUCGGCCACCGGCUUUGGCUGGUGAGUGCCCGCCAGAGGACCCUAAACUCUGAAUCAUGGUGUCGUCUGAGUACUAUACAAUAGUUA
rnacentral:misc_RNA from 1 species